rnacentral:tRNA from 1 species
GGAGAGGUACCCAAGUCUGGCCAAAGGGGGCAGACUGUAAAUCUGCUGGCGAUGCCUUCGGUGGUUCAAAUCCACCCCUCUCCACCA